UACGUAGGGUGCAAGCGUUGUCCGGAAUUAUUGGGCGUAAAGAGCUCGUAGGCGGUUUGUCGCGUCUGCUGUGAAAUCCCGAGGCUCAACCUCGGGCCUGCAGUGGGUACGGGCAGACUAGAGUGCGGUAGGGGAGAUUGGAACUCCGUGGUGUAGCGGUGGAAUGCGCAGAUAUCAGGAAGAACACCGAUGGCGAAGGCAGAUCUCUGGGCCG
rnacentral:rRNA from 1 species